UAGCAGGGCCCGGUGUUCCUGUGUCUAUGAAGCCAAAGUAAAGGGCUAAGUAAACAUGAUUAUGCAUGCAUGGAAGUCUCUAUCAAGGUACAAGAACAAGUCUACUUCCUACAAAUAUUCAGAGAUAGCUAUCAUACUCCAUUCUAUUCUUCCACUCUUUUCUUCUCCAAGGAAAACACUCCCAGUUUCUUCAACCAGUUCCUUCGAGGAACCAUCGUCAAAUGGCCUGAGUACAAGGCAUCUACUGAUAGAUCUCCUUUGCACGUACAUAACAUCCAGUUAUGGUCUGGGCAGGGCAGCCCUUCUUUUCUGGACACCAUGCUUAUCUUAAUGUGAUCCAUGAACCUGGUAGCUUGAUUUAGUCUUGAAGGAAACAAGGAUUCUAAGAGAAGAUGUUGGGAUCCUUCCAGCAAUAGGAGAUAACUUGUGAAAAGACAUGGACGCAGGGAAAAGAAAGUCAUAUGGCACUGGGGAGCUGUGUCGUCCAGGGAGAAUAAUGCUGCAUUUAUAUUUAGCAGACAUGGCUUAGUCACUUAUAGUCCAAGUAACCAUAGGGUUCUGAGGCAAAGAGAACGAAGAGAAGUCCCUUGGGAUAGUCCAGGUGAUGUGGGCCUGAGCUGGGGUUCGUGGCUGUCUGAACAGAGGGAAGGGAACAUAUAUCAAUUCCACCAAGGAGUUUCCUUUAACAAUGUUUCUCCAGGCCACUGUAGACUCCAGGCUGUGGGGAAGACCUGGCUACUUACACCAUGUCGAUGAGCAAGGAGUGACCAUUUGUGGGAAAGAACACAAGAUUUUAUCAUCUGUCUUGCCGUUGGGCCCUAAGAGUCAAUGAGCCCCAUCAUUCUAUCCUGCCAUUGUGUCCUCUACAGAUCUACCAUCUGCAGCUUCAACUUGAAGAUCACUCAGCAAGUCUUUUCCUUUUCAUCUGUCCAGCAGUGUGCACACACACAACACACACACAACACACAAACACAUGACUGUACAUAUGUGUGUUUCAGGACAGGUGUGUCUAGAGAUGCAAUAUCUAUGUGAUAUAUGUGAAUAUAUGUGUGCAUGUAUAUGCAAAUAUAUACACAUGUACACAAA